CACUCGGCUCGUGUGUCGAUGAAGAGUGCAGCCAACUGUGUGAAUUAAUGUGAACUGCAUACUGCUUUGAACAUCGACAUCUUGAACGCAUAUUGCGGCCAUGGGUUGUCCUGUGGCCACGCCUGUCCGAGGGUCGGCUUAUAAACUAUCACGACGCCCAAAAAGUCGUGGCUUGGGUUUUGCCAGCUGGCGUGAUUUCCUCUAU
rnacentral:rRNA from 1 species